ACGUGGCGGCAGAGGCCGAGGUGAGCUAAGUUACACUCGAGAUCUGUGGGAGCUAUGUUUGUACACUUUAAUGAAUUGGUUGCUUCUUUUCGAACAUUUUAGACUUUUGAAAUUAUGGGUGGCGCUAAUGAUCGACCAAAUGGUACCAGAAUAGAUCGCGGGUUCGAUUCUCGCGUGCUGGGGAUUGUUGGCAACGAGCCCGAAGGUAUUGUGUCUGUAUAUUUUUAAGUCAAUUUGUCGGCCCCUUUCUAACAGCUCGAGUUUUUGAACUUGUGGCUAGCACCAAUGAUCCAACGCAUGUAAGUUUACAUUGAACUUUCGAGUCCUUUGUAAAGCUAGUUAAUUGCAAUAUGUGUUAACACUUUCUGACUUUAGCCUUCAACUUCUCAAAUAUUAUGAAUGAGUCCUUAGUCUUUUAUUACCACCUAGGCCCUUUCCAUUGAAUUUUUCUAACUAUAGUUGAUUGUAUAGUUCCUAUAACUGUGAAAUUAAUGGUUUUAAUCCUCUUCCAUAACUAGAUUCACUACAACAGAAUUAGGUUAUAGGGACACAUGUUUGGAACACUUUUGUGUAAGUAUCCAAUUUAUACCAAAACUUAAAAAAAAUCUUCUAAUGCCUAAAUAUAAAGUCCAAUCCAACUAAAAAUAAAAUGUUACUCUACUCAACCCAUCCCACCCAGUCCAUUCGGUCCGAUUACAAACAAAAAAGAAAAAUAAAAGAAAAAUCGAUUACCAUUUUUCCUUCUCCCCUUACUCAAUCGACUAAAAUUCUAGACGAAGAUCUCUUCCUCUCGUCCUCCUCCACCAUUGCAGCCAACGAGGUAGAGUUCCGACGGCUGCUAAAUGCUUAAAUAAAUAUUUAUAAAUUAUGAGCACUUUUUUAGGUUAUAACGACACUUUUUAACUAUCAUUAUAUACCUAGCGACCCCACAUAUAGCAACACUUUUUAAAAAUGUCGGUAAUUUAGCCAGCAGCACUUUUUUUUACCUGUACCGAUAUUUAAAAGUGUCGCUAUAGACCGUUUUUGUUGUAGUGAUUACAUAGUUAUCACCUAAUAUUUUCAUCUCUCAAUCAAGGAUUUAAGUUCUCAUCGGCACGGACUGUACCCACCGUAUUCUAUCAUGCCAGCAAGAUAUCGACACGACA
rnacentral:lncRNA from 1 species